GGGGAAUAUUGGACAAUGGGCGCAAGCCUGAUCCAGCCAUGCCGCGUGGGUGAAGAAGGCCUUCGGGUUGUAAAGCCCUUUUGUUGGGAAAGAAAAGCAGCCGGUUAAUACCCGGUUGUCAUGACGGUACCCAAAGAAUAAGCACCGGCUAACUUCGUGCCAGCAGCCGCGGUAAUACGAAGGGUGCAAGCGUUACUCGGAAUUACUGGGCGUAAAGCGUGCGUAGGUGGUUUGUUAAGUCAGAUGUGAAAGCCCUGGGCUCAACCUGGGAACUGCAUUUGAUACUGGCAGGCUAGAGUGCGGUAGAGGAUAGCGGAAUUCCUGGUGUAGCAGUGAAAUGCGUAGAGAUCAGGAGGAACAUCCGUGGCGAAGGCGGCUAUCUGGGCCAGCACUGACACUGAGGCACGGAAGCGUGGGGAGCAAAC
rnacentral:rRNA from 1 species